rnacentral:rRNA from 1 species
AGAGUUUGAUCAUGGCUCAGAUUGAACGCUGGCGGCAGGCUUAACACAUGCAAGUCGAGCGGUAACAGAGAGUAGCUUGCUACUUUGCUGACGAGCGGCGGACGGGUGAGUAAUGCUUGGGAAUAUGCCAUAUGGUGGGGGACAACAGUUGGAAACGACUGCUAAUACCGCAUAACGUCUACGGACCAAAGGAGGGGAUUCUUCGGAACCUUUCGCCAUUUGAUUAGCCCAAGUGAGAUUAGCUAGUUGGUAAGGUAAUGGCUUACCAAGGCGACGAUCUCUAGCUGGUUUGAGAGGAUGAUCAGCCACACUGGGACUGAGACACGGCCCAGACUCCUACGGGAGGCAGCAGUGGGGAAUAUUGCACAAUGGGCGAAAGCCUGAUGCAGCCAUGCCGCGUGUGUGAAGAAGGCCUUCGGGUUGUAAAGCACUUUCAGUUGUGAGGAAAGGUUAGUAGUUAAUAACUGCUAACUGUGACGUUAGCAACAGAAGAAGGACCGGCUAACUCCGUGCCAGCAGCCGCGGUAAUACGGAGGGUCCGAGCGUUAAUCGGAAUUACUGGGCGUAAAGGGUGCGUAGGUGGUUUGUUAAGCAAGAUGUGAAAGCCCCGGGCUCAACCUGGGAACUGCAUUUUGAACUGGCAAACUAGAGUUUUGUAGAGGGGAGUGGAAUUUCUGGUGUAGCGGUGAAAUGCGUAGAUAUCAGAAGGAACAUCAGUGGCGAAGGCGACUCCCUGGCCAAAGACUGACGCUCAUGUGCGAAAGUGUGGGUAGCGAACAGGAUUAGAUACCCUGGUAGUCCACACCGUAAACGAUGUCUACUAGCUGUUUGUGGAUUUAAUCCGUGAGUAGCGCAGCUAACGCGAUAAGUAGACCGCCUGGGGAGUACGGCCGCAAGGUUAAAACUCAAAUGAAUUGACGGGGGCCCGCACAAGCGGUGGAGCAUGUGGUUUAAUUCGAUGCAACGCGAAGAACCUUACCUGGCCUUGACAUGUUGCGAACUUUCCAGAGAUGGAUUGGUGCCUUCGGGAACGCAAACACAGGUGCUGCAUGGCUGUCGUCAGCUCGUGUCGUGAGAUGUUGGGUUAAGUCCCGCAACGAGCGCAACCCUUGUCCUUAGUUGCCAGCGAUUCGGUCGGGAACUUUAGGGAGACUGCCGGUGACAAACCGGAGGAAGGAGGGGACGACGUCAAGCCAUCAUGGCCCUUAUGGGCAGGGCUACACACGUGCUACAAUGGCGAGUACAAACGGUUGCAAUCUCGCGAGGGGGAGCUAAUCCCAGAAAGGUAUUCUUAGUCCGGAUUGCAGUCUGCAACUCGACUGCAUGAAGUCGGAAUCGCUAGUAAUCGCGAAUCAGAAUGUCGCGGUGAAUACGUUCCCGGGUCUUGUACACACCGCCCGUCACACCAUGGGAGUGGGUUGCUCCAGAAGUAGAUAGCUUAACCCUUCGGGGAGGGCGUUUACCACGGAGUGAUUCAUGACUGGGGUGAAGUC